GAUGAAGAACGCAGCGAAAUGCGAUAAGUAAUGUGAAUUGCAGAAUUCAGUGAAUCAUCGAAUCUUUGAACGCAUCUUGCGCUCCUUGGUAUUCUGAGGAGCAUGCCUGUUUGAGUGUCAUUAAAUUCUCAACUACACUGACUUUGAAUUGGUGUGGCUUGGAUUUGGGGGGAAAAUUGUUGUGGGCUUUUUGUAUAGUCUGCUCCCCUGAAAUUGAUUAGCGGUACCUUUGUGGAACUGUGUACAGGUGUGAUAAUUAUCUACAUCUUAGACAUCUGCUGGAAUGCUGCUUUCUAAACCUUACUUGUAUUGACAAUCUUGACCUCAAAUCAGGUAGGACUACCCGCUGAACUUAAGCAUAUCAAUAAGCGGAGGA
rnacentral:misc_RNA from 1 species